GGCCUCGUGGCCUAAUGGCAUGGCGUCAGAUUUCGGCUCGUCGUUCAAAUAAAUAAAGGACGACAAAUUAUUCUCUGAAGAUUGUCGGUUCGAAUCCGGCCGAGGUCG